GCAGCACUGCGAGGCAGGUGGAUGUGCCCAUAUUCUUGAGCCAACACUUUAGAAACGGGGGUUUGCUACCGUUCUGGUGUGCCAUGCUCUACCGGGCCGCGGCCGCGGCCGGGUCCAGAGACGCCUAAAGGAAUGCGCAGACUCUCACCCGUAUCCUACGGGUUCAAGAAUAUGUCACACACGGCUGAGCGGUCUGCC
rnacentral:other from 1 species